GUGUCAGCCGCCGCGGUAAUACGUAGGGGGCAAGCGUUGUCCGGAUUUAUUGGGCGUAAAGAGCGUGUAGGCGGCUAGGUAGGUCCGUUGUGAAAACUCGAGGCUCAACCUCGAGGCGUCGAUUGAAACCAUCUAGCUAGAGUCCGGAAGAGGAGAGUGGAAUUCCCGGUGUAGCGGUGAAAUGCGCAGAUAUCAGGAAGAACACCCGUGGCUAAGGCGGCUCUCUAGUACGUGACUGACGCUGAGACGCGAAAGCGUGGGGAGCGAACAGGAUUAGAUACCCCGGUAGUCC
rnacentral:rRNA from 1 species